CUACGGGGUGCUGCAGUGAGGAAUAUUGCACAAUGGGGGGAACCCUGAUGCAGCAACGCCGCGUGGAGGAUGACGCAUUUCGGUGUGUAAACUCCUUUUAUAUGUCAAGAAAAUGACGGUAGCAUAUGAAUAAGCACCGGCUAACUCCGUGCCAGCAGCCGCGGUAAUACGGAGGGUGCAAGCGUUACUCGGAAUCACUGGGCGUAAAGGACGCGUAGGCGGGUUGGAAAGUCAGGUGUGAAAUCCUACGGCUUAACUGUAGAACUGCACUUGAAACUUCUAAUCUAGAGUAUGGGAGGGGGAGAUGGAAUUAGUGGUGUAAGGGUAAAAUCCGUAGAUAUCACUAGGAAUACCUAAAGCGAAGGCGAUCUCCUGGAACAUUACUGACGCUAAGGCGUGAAAGCGUGGGGAGCAAACAGGAUUAGAUACCCGCGUAGUC
rnacentral:rRNA from 1 species